rfam:Metschnikowia bicuspidata var. bicuspidata NRRL YB-4993 METBIscaffold_1, whole genome shotgun sequence.
GGGCGUGUGGUCUAGUGGUAUGAUUCUCGCUUUGGGUGAGGACGAGCCAUCGUUCACACAAAUAUGCGAGAGGCCCUGGGUUCAAUUCCCAGUAUGCCCC